rnacentral:lncRNA from 1 species
GUGCCAUCAUUUAAAUUUCACUUAGUAAGUGGCAGAUUACAUUAUUCAGUCCCACAAGCACAGAAACAUAGUAACACUAGGAGAUAUUUGAACAUUUAUUUUACAAUCGACUGAAUAUAUUAUGUAAAUGAGGUAAGCAACUUUUGUAGAGAUUGUAUGUGUGAGAUAAUGUAAUGUUCUUUUCCAGUUUUGGACUACAGUUGAAUAAACUUUUUAAUUAUUUAAAAACAUCUUUACCGAAUAACAUGUGAUGGUUUUUUGUAUAAUGUAUUUGAUUUUGUAAAUACGUAUUUCCUGAUGUGAUUUUUGUGAGAAAUGCUAAAUCUUUUAGUAUAUCAUGUCCUCUCAAAAUUGGCAGGAGCUAAAUAAUAGUUUGUGGGCGAUUUGUAUUGUGUACUGUACAAUAACUGGGGAAC